UUCCAAAUACAAAUUUAAGUAUUUGGUAUAAAUAUAAUUGUGCUAUAUUUGUCAUAUCGGAUGAAAUGCAAUUUUAAUUAUAAUGUGUUUAUAUGUUCGUAUACUCCAAAUAAUCAUUUUAAAUAAGUAAAUAUAGGGUAAUCAUGUCUAUGGAAAGUAUCCGUAGGCAUGUUUUAAUUGCUUGUGUACCUCAUAUGGAUCAGGGUCUUUCUAAAUUAUUGCAUGAUUGUUAAUGCCUAUGUCUGAUUGUGUAAAUAUCUUCAAAGAUACUUGUUAAGAGGAUUUUAAUAUUAAAAGAUAAACUAGCAUCUUAACUAUAACCGGGCAUCUUUUGCAUUUAUUUUAACGUGUUUAUAUUGUUUGGCUUACCGAGUUUAAUAUUGUCUAUAUAUUCGUGCGUAAUUUUAUUGUGGUUGUUUUGUUAAGACAAAGCGCAUAUCACUAAUGCUGUUGUUUUUGUUUUAUGAUAUAUGUAAAUAAUUAAACAUGUUUAUUUUGGUGAUAUGUAUUUCCCAAUCUAAGUGUAAUGUUGCAUUCUCAAUAAAGUACAUUGUUAUACACGUGGAAUAGUAUUGCUAAGUGACAAUUUGUUGUCUUUACAAAUAAAAACCGCAAGGAUUGUCGUAUCAAUUUUAUAGCUUUCCCCUAUUGAACUGGUGUAAAAACGUGACCGUGAGCUCAUUUUGUUUAAUGUUAACUGCCAAUAUAUAUAUAUAUAUAUAGAAAGAAAUUGUUCAAACAGUGUAAAAAAUGUGUAUCUUAUACCCUAGCGCUUUCGACUACACUCUUCUUCAGGGGUGUAUACAGAUAUGAGUUAACGAUUCCCCAGUGCGAAUGCACAAUAGAGGUUAACUUAUUGGCUUUCAGUCUUGUUUUUUUUAGUUAUGUGUCGUUUUAUUUUUUAUGCCCCCCUUCGAAGAAGAGGGGGUAUAUUGCUUUGCUCAUGUCGGUCGGUCGGUCUGUCGGUCCGUCCACCAGGUGGUUGUCAGAUGAUAACUCAAGAACGCUUGGGCCUAGGAUCAUGAAACUUCAUAGGUACAUUGAUCAUGACUCGCGGAUGACCCCUAUUGAUUAUGAGGUCACUAGGUCAAAGGUCAAGGUCAAGGUGACCCGAAAUAGUAAAAUGGUUUCCAGAUGAUAACUCAAGAACGCUUAUGCCUAGGAUCAUGAAACUUGAUAGGUAGAUUGAUCAUGACUCGCAGAUGAUCCCUAUUGAUUUUCAGGUCACAAGGUCAAGGUCACGGUGACCCGAAAUAGAAAAAAUGGUUUCUGGAUGACAACUCAAGAACGCUUAGGCGUAGGAUCAUGAAACUUGAUAGGUAGAUUGAUCAUGACUUGCAGAUGACCCCUAUUGAUUUUCAGGUCACUAGGUCAAAGGUCAAGGUCACGGUGACCCGAAAUAGUAAAAUGGUUUCAGGAUGAUAACUCAAGAACGCUUAUGGCUAGGAUCAUGAAACUUCAUAGGUACAUUAAUCAUGACUGGCAGAUAACCCCUAUUAAUUUUGAGGUCACUAGGUCAAAGGUCAAGGUCACGGUGACCCGAAAUAGUAAAAUGGUUUCCCGAUGAUAACUCAAGAACGCUUAUGGCUAGGAUCAUGAAACUUCAUAGGUACAUUGAUCAUGACUCAAAGAUGACCCCUAUUGAUUUUCAGGUCACUAGGUCAAAGGUCAAGGUCACUGUGACAAAAAACAUAUUCACACAAUGGCUGAUACUACAACUGAGAGCCCGUAUGGGGGGCAUGCAUGUUUUACAAACAGCCCUUGUUUAUUUAUAUAUUUAUGCAUAUUAAAAUUGUGUUAUAGACUGACGCCCGUAAUAUAAAUUAUAUCGAUGUUAUAAUGAAAAAUAUUAUAAUUUGCAGUGAACGUUUUGCAUUCAGUAUUGUGUCAUAUUUAUUCUUCGUUUUAUGAUUAUGUACAUACACUUAUUAAAAUUGUGUGUUAUAAAAUGGCGCUUACAAUGUUUAUUAUAUCGAUUUAACAUUUAAAUGAU